rfam:Felis catus isolate Cinnamon breed Abyssinian chromosome B3, whole genome shotgun sequence.
GCCUGGGUGGCUCAGUUGAUUGAGCAUCUGACUUUGGCUCAGGUCACCAUAUCAGGGUUUGUGAGUUCGAGCCCCACAUCAGGCU